GCUUAUCACCAUUCCAGAUUGAAUAUACCCGAUCUCGUCUGAUCUCGGAAGUCAAGCAAUCUCUUACUUGGUUAGUACUUGGAUGGGUGACCGCUUGGGAAUACCAAGUGUGAUAAGCA
rnacentral:rRNA from 1 species